rnacentral:lncRNA from 1 species
CUUUGAGUCAGGUUCCAUGGUAAAGCACAGAGGUAGGUGAGGUAUGAAAACAUCCCGUAACUGACCCAUAAGAACUUUUGAUACUUCCUCUUGUUGGCUGGAACGUUUCCACAUAGGUCAAAAAGAGGAAAGGAGAAAGUCCCAGGUCGCCAGUGGUUGUAGAGCUUGGAACAACCUCCAUACACAGAGAACAUAAAGUCCUUUGACUCAGGACAAAAUGGAAGCUGAAAGUUCCUUAAAGAGGCUGCCUAAUUGACACUCUCAUCAGUCACCAAUAAAAGGGAAGGCGUGGCAGAAGACUCGAGGAUGUCAGAAAGAAGCACAACCUGAGUAGAGGUGAGGCAGAGACCAGGGUUGCCCAAGGUCAUGGCAAGAGACGAGGUGGAGGGAGCCCUCCCUUUCUGACUGCUGGCUCAGUGGUCAGUCCACGCUGACCAAAAGAGGCUGCUUGUACUAUGCAAGUAAAAUAUGAACGCCCAGGUUGUUGGGGAGCAAGAAGACACUCCGAAUACGAGGUGGAAAGGGGGAGCCGGGAGCAGGAGAAACCGGACUUCCCUUUUAUGUGUUGCUUCAUGCCUCUGCUGGUGAACAGAAGGAGGAGAGAGAAAUGGCUGACUCCAAACCCACAGUUCCUGCCCUGGAGUGAAAUAAAAUACUCCGAGGCUGGUGUUUCAAUUGGUGCAAGAUUCUGAAGAGAGCCGAACACUCCCUCUUCCUUUUUGGGACAUGAAUUCCCCAGCUGAAAAAAUGCAUCACUUGGCCUUACCUGCCCUACUCCAUCACCACCUCCUUCUCAGGGAUGUCGUGACAAAGAGGUUUGUUUUGAUGUCUGAGGCGAAGAGAUCUUCCCAGGAGGAGGCCGAGGGAACACUCAGGCGAAAUGGCACCCUACCCUCAUGUCAACAGCCUCUCGAUUUAGCUGAUGACCAUUUUUGUCUCAUCCAAGAAAACUUCAGAGUCGGUCUAUGCACCCACUCUCCCACCCACCCAGCCAGCCAGGAUGCUCUUCUGGAGCUAGCCCAGCUGACAGAAUCAGAG